GCAGAGGGCUUUGUGUUUAUGUAUAAGACAAGAAUUAUUUACUCCACUUUACAGAUGAGGCCAGAGAGGUCCCUGGACUUGCCCGGUGUGGACGUGGUGAGGCAGGAGCUAGGUUAGGGGCUCGGGUCUCCGCAAGCCUGGUCAGGAGCCUGAACACCCAACCUGUCUGGUCAUGGCCCCCAUCAAGCCCGCCCCUUGGUUUUCUGCUUGGUUAGAGGGGCUUGCCAGGGUGAGGGGCACCCGGCAAGGUUUUUAAGGAAGCUUCCUUUCUUUAGGUCUCAAGCGUGGAUUUCCCUGUCUUUGUCCCAGGAGGAGCCCCUGCCCGGGAGCACGGCAGAGUCUGGCGUCAGGAGAGCCACCUCGGAUGAGAGUCAUCACCACCUGAGCUUCAAUGCUUCGGGAGGUGGGAGUGGCACCUACCCCUCAGGAUCACAGUGGAAGCACCGCUCUGCUGAUCGCAGGCUUAUACGCCGAUUAUGAAGUUCCUAGUCUAUGCCAUGCCUCGGGCUGGGACGCAGAGAUGAACAGAGCUCGCGCCCCUGCCCUCGGGGAGGUCCCUGCCCAGGGGCGGAGGGGGCAGGCAGGCCGUGGCCGGUGGGUCAGGCCACGGGUGCCAGCCUUGAGGUGUGCCGCUCGGAGCUCCCUUCCAGAGAACUCGCUGCAGGACGCAGUAAGCUGACUGCCCCCGGCCGCCACACCUUCAGGAUCCACAGCUACAUUCACACGGAGGCCACCGUCUCCCUGGGCCGCUCCCGGCCGGUGGCUGAGCCCAGCUGAGGCACCAGCGUGGGCCACGUUUGCCAGAUGCAGGACCGCUUUCCUGGGCAGUCUUUGCUCCGGCCGUCCCUCGGCCUGGCCGCGAUGCGCGGUGCGCGACGCGCUCGGGGCCUGUGCCGGGUCUUGGGCUCUUCCUCCCCGCCCUCCUUCCUGCGCCUCCUUUCAUAGAUGGCAGGCCUGCCCUGCGCUCUGAACACGCUCCCUCUUACUCCUGCCCCAGUCUUUCCCACGCUUUCCCCCCGGUGAGCUCUUGCAUGGCUGACCUGGCCUUGCUGUCUGCUUUCCGGUGGGUCGUUUCUGACGCACAGUAUAAAACGGCACAUUCUCUUCUGGUAGCAGGCCACGGGGGACAUCAGAUGUCUCACUCGGUUGCUGGGUCGCGGGGGCCGCCAAGUGUGGUGGUGGGGAAAGGCGAGCUUUGAAGCCAGGCUGCCCCGUGAGAAGCCCACUCCGCCCCUUUCCCAGCAGUGUGCCCUGGCCAGCGUAGUUCACCUCCCCGAGCCUCAGUUUCCUCACCUGCUAAAGGAGGCUACUCCUGCCUCCUGGGACGGAGGCAAGCUUUCAGUGAGUUAAUAUACGUGCUGCCGAGGCGAAGCGAGUUAAUGCACACGAACAGUGGCACAGGGUGAACGCUUAGUGUCUAUCCUUCCCGGUGGGAGGGAAGACUGUGCAGAGGAGGGGGCAAGAUGCCGUCUCUGAAUCUGCUGCCUCUAGUUCCAGAAAGCACCGUGGAUUUGGGGGGCCGUACGUGCUCCUCUGAGCCUCGGCCGGCACACUCGUAAGGGGAGUUGCCAUCACCUGCUGCCCUGUCAGCUGCAGGUGGGAAUGUUGCAUCCGUGCUAAUGGGUGGGGGAAGGCCAAAAUCUUCGUGCAAGGGCAGGCGGCUAAGAGUUGGAAGGGAC
ensembl:lncRNA